AGAUAGUGUUAACUGAAGAACCUGUCUUUCAGCAUCUCAGUUCAAAGAGAUGUGGGCUGACCUUGGAGCUGCUAUUGAUGACUUCUUGUUCUCUAACAGCUUGGCAUCUCCUACACAAAGUCUUGAAGAUCAACAGUGUGAUGAGGCACUGGAUUGUAAGGUAAGGUCUGUGAAGAUCAACAGUGUGAUGAGGCACUGGAUUGUAAGGUAAGGUCUGUGAAGAUUAACAGUGUGAUGAGGCACUGGAUUGUAAGGUAAGGUCUGUGGAGAUCAACAGUGUGAUGAGGCACUGGAUUGUAAGGUAAGGUCUGUGAAGAUCAACAGUGUGAUGAGGCACUGGAUUGUAAGGUCUAUGAAGAUCAACAGUGUGAUGAGGCACUGGAUUGUAAGGUAAGGUCUGUGAAGAUCAACAGUGUGAUGAGGCACUGGAUUGUAAGGUAAGGUCUGUGAAGAUCAACAGUGUGAUGAGGCACUGGAUUGUAAGGUCUAUGAAGAUCAACAGUGUGAUGAGGCACUGGAUUGUAAGGUCUGUGAAGAUCAACAGUGAUGAGGCACUGGAUUGUAAUGUAAGGUCUGUGAAGAUCAACAGUGUGAUGAGGCACUGGAUUGUAAGGUCUGUGAAGAUCAACAGUGUGAUGAGGCACCGGGUUGUAAGGUCUGUGAAGAUCAACAGUGUGAUGAGGCACUGGAUUGUAAGGUCUGUGAAGAUCAACAGUGUGAUGAGGCACUGGAUUGUAAAGUAAGGUCUACUGAGUUUAGAAAAUGAAUUAUAAAUUACCUCUCCUUAAAGUUUAUUUUUGCUUUAAAGAUGAACAACAUAGAUGAAAAUCACUGUAUGUAAGUUUGUUGAAAAGUUUAGUGUAAGGUUUAUCAAGUAUUGCAAAAUAAAUUACAUAAGAAGUGGUCCUUAGCUUUCCUACAUAUAUUACUUGGGACAGUAGCUACUGUAUAUGUUGUUGAGGGGAAGGUGGUUUGGGGUUGGUAGUAGAUAUAGGUCUAACCAGAUUUCAGAUAGUGACAUUGUCAUUGUUAAGGGAGAGAACUAGAAAAAUAUGCUGAACAGAAAAUGUGUAUGUUUUUAAUGAUAGCCAGUUACGCUGCUGUUGCUUCCUAUCCUCAGAAGAAACUAACUACAAAGAAUGAACUGUUUGCUAGUUUAGAAUGUUUGAAUCCACAAACAAUUAACCUGUCAAGACUAAAUGAAAUUAUGUUUGCCAAAAACUCUCUAUUCCAGAUGGUGAGGUGAUGAAGACAAAAGAGGAAUGGAAAGUUCUUGCUGUAGAUGAUACCCUACAAGUGUCCUCCUUUAAAUGUGUGGAUCAUUUUUGUUUACCCAAACAGUGACAACUGUUUGUCCAGAGUAUCCUACAUUGAUAAAAGAUGAUAAGACGGCAUUAAUUUGGGAAUGUAGUUGUUACGUGUGGAUUGUCAGUUAACAGUUCCAUAGUAACACAAGAAAGAACAUUGUUUAGUGAAGUAGCAAUAAAUGGAUGAAGAAUCACUAAGGACAUUGUGAGGUUUCAAAUCCCAAACAACUGAAACCAGAAAAACUUCCUUUAUCCAAGCAAAUGCUAUCUGCUGUCAUGAAUACUUAUUUUGAGUAUCAGAGAAGAAUGCAGAGAGACCAAAACAAGAAAUAGAAAUGACAAAGCUGAAGAUGAAAAGAGUAAGAGAAAGCUUAAUGGUACAAAAGACACCUUCAUUGGAGAAAGAAAAAAACUAGCUGAAAAACAGAGAAGAAAAAUGAUGCAUUAACAUCUGUAUAUGAUCACCUGAAAGGAUGAAAUGAAAAAUACAGUUGAAAAGGAGGAUUUAAUAAAAGCUUCUGCUACUCAAUUAGUGAUUGAUACAGCUAUCAAUAAGACAGGAGAAUACACAAAAACAUUGACUGAUUUUACACAAGAGCAAAAAUAAAUUGAAGAAAAGAAACUUCAGACAAAAAUCUACACUUCAAACACGCUAAUCCAAAGAGACAGAAGGUGUCAUUGCCCCUCAGAAAGUCCACCUCCCACAGUAAAGACUCACAGAAAUCAUCUGGUAGACAUUCAGGGUUGUUUUUUUGUAAGUCAUCAGGAUCAUGAAAAGAAUAGGCAACAUCUAAAAGUUCAGCUUCAUACAAAAACUGCAGACCCUGCAGAAAUGCAAAUCAUGAAAGGCAUUAAAAGUUGUAUAAGUCGGGAAUCUAAGUAGAAAACUGUAGAUAUCUUGUUUUAGUAUAGCUUUAUAAUCAGUUAUCAAACCUUUUUUAAUGUAAGCAUGACAUGAGUUAUUAUUUGUUAUUGUAAAUUAAGAUUUGUACUUCCUUGUCAUUUGUCAAAAUGUGGUAUGGAAUGGCUGUGAGGGGUGGUGGAAACCAUUGAAAUAUUUGAUAUUUGUUGUAUAUUUUACAAUUUUCUGCAUGUGUAUAACAUUUGAAUACUUACCAGAAUUCUAAGUGUUGAUAAUUUUGAGUCUGUAUAUAAAGAAAGGGUGUUUUUAUCUCCAGGUUGUUCAGCUGAUCAGAGAAGAGAUCCUACCACAGGCUAAACACAUUCCAAAAGAAUUUAUCUUGAAAAUUGUCUCAUUGUUGAACAAAGGAUCAAUUCACUCAGCAACAGGGUCACCCACUGUUGAUACAGAAUCUAGCAGGAAGUUGAGAGAAGAAUUUGCUAAGUCAUGUUUUGAAACAUUACUCCAAUUCUCCUUCCUAAGUGGAACUGCUGAUGCAGAACCACUAGAGGGCAGUACUUUACAUGGUGGUGUAGUUAACAAGUUAGCAGUAACAUCACUUUUACACCGCUUCCAAGAAGUAAUCAAGAAGUAUGUUGAGGAUGAACGGCUCAGUGGGAAGUGCCCUCUUCCACGUCAUCGCAUGGCAGAGAUUUCUUUUGUUCUCAAAGCUGUUGCAACCUUGACUGCUUCACUGAAAAAGGCUCCACCUGAAAAUGUGGAAUGGAGUGUAUGGCAGCAGCUUAUUGGCUUGUAUCCCCACCUGGUGGAUUGCACCACGUCCACCUCGGCCCAGGUGUGCCGAUCCUUAAGAGAAGCUCUUCAUGAAUACGUUAGUCUUCUAAGCCCUCCACAUGGUCAGGUGAUAAAUGGA